GGGAAGGUGGCUCAGUGGUUAAGAGCACUGGCUGCUCUUCCAGAAGACCUGGGUUCAAUUCCCAGAACCCA
rnacentral:tRNA from 1 species